rnacentral:rRNA from 1 species
GAAGAGUUUGAUCCUGGCUCAGGAUGAACGCUAGCGGCAGGCCUAACACAUGCAAGUCGAGGGGUAACAGGGAGCUUGCUCUGCUGACGACCGGCGCACGGGUGCGUAACGCGUAUACAAUCUGCCCCUUACUAAGGAAUAGCCCAGGGAAACUUGGAUUAAUGCCUUAUAGUAUCGAGAGAUGGCAUCAUUUUUCGAUUAAAGGUUACGGUAAGGGAUGAGUAUGCGUCCUAUUAGCUUGUUGGUGUGGUAACGGCACACCAAGGCAACGAUAGGUAGGGGCCCUGAGAGGGGGAUCCCCCACACUGGUACUGAGACACGGACCAGACUCCUACGGGAGGCAGCAGUGAGGAAUAUUGGACAAUGGGCGAGAGCCUGAUCCAGCCAUGCCGCGUGCAGGAAGACUGCCCUAUGGGUUGUAAACUGCUUUUGUACGGGAAGAAACACCCCCACGUGUGGGGGCUUGACGGUACCGUAAGAAUAAGCAUCGGCUAACUCCGUGCCAGCAGCCGCGGUAAUACGGAGGAUGCAAGCGUUAUCCGGAAUCAUUGGGUUUAAAGGGUCCGUAGGCGGAUAAUUAAGUCAGGGGUGAAAGUCUGCAGCUCAACUGUAGGACUGCCCUUGAUACUGGUUAUCUUGAAUCGUUGUGAAGUGGCUAGAAUAUGUAGUGUAGCGGUGAAAUGCAUAGAUAUUACAUAGAAUACCGAUUGCGAAGGCAGGUCACUAACAACGUAUUGACGCUGAGGGACGAAAGCGUGGGGAGCGAACAGGAUUAGAUACCCUGGUAGUCCACGCCGUAAACGAUGGAUACUAGCUGUCCGGCCUUCGGGCUGGGUGGCCAAGCGAAAGUGAUAAGUAUCCCACCUGGGGAGUACGUUCGCAAGAAUGAAACUCAAAGGAAUUGACGGGGGCCCGCACAAGCGGUGGAGCAUGUGGUUUAAUUCGAUGAUACGCGAGGAACCUUACCAGGGCUUAAAUGUAUUGUGACAGGGGUGGAAACACCUUUUUCUUCGGACACAUUACAAGGUGCUGCAUGGUUGUCGUCAGCUCGUGCCGUGAGGUGUCAGGUUAAGUCCUAUAACGAGCGCAACCCCUGCCGUUAGUUGCCAGCAUGUAAAGAUGGGAACUCUAACGGGACUGCCGGUGCAAACC